rnacentral:rRNA from 1 species
UCGCAAGAUGUCAGCGGCAGACGGGAGAGUAACACGUGGGAACAUGCCCUUCGGUUCGGAAUAACUCAGGGAAACUUGAGCUAAUACCGGAUACGUCCGUAAGGAGAAAGAUUUAUCGCCGAAGGAUUGGCCCGCGUCCGAUUAGCUAGUUGGUGAGGUAACGGCUCACCAAGGCGACGAUCGGUAGCUGGUCUGAGAGGAUGAUCAGCCUCACUGGGACUGAGAUACGGCCCAGACUCCUACGGGAGGCAGCAGUGGGGAAUAUUGGACAAUGGGCGCAAGCCUGAUCCAGCCAUGCCGCGUGGGUGAUGAAGGCCCUAGGG